AAAAUCACAUUAUUGCCCACUGGUUUGGACAUAGGAAUAGAAAUUCAUUAUUUUAUUAUCUUUCAAAACAAGGUUGAAUGUGUUGGAGCCAUUUAGGUAGAGCUUUUAGACAUGGCCUUGGGAAGGAAGUUUCACUCAGGACUGUUGAUUUAAAUACUCCAGAGAGGAAAUGCUGGGACGUUGGAAAAAGAAAUCAGAGAACUCAGUGAUCACAGAAAAUAAUUACAGUACACUUAAGUUUUGGGUCUCUAAGUGCUAACAUUGCUUUAUAAUUAUGUUGGUUAACAUGCAGCACAGUCAGUCACUCCCAGUUGCCCCCAUCAGAACCUGUUCCUGCGUUUCUGCUCAGCAUUCUGUAACUGUGCUUAUUUCUUUAAGGUUUCAGUGUGGAAAAAAGUGCACAAAGUCAUUUCUAGAAUGCUUGAAGAAAAUGAAGAAUACAGACGCAGGCUGAAACGCCAGCAAUUGUCUAGGGAAAACUCAGAUUACACAAGAUGAAUCUUCUUAUCUUCUGGAGGUUUACCAAGAAGAUUAUGAAGAGUUU